GAGUUUGAUCUUGGCUCAGGAUGAACGCUGGCGGCGUGCCUAAUACAUGCAAGUCGAGCGAACGGACGAGAAGCUUGCUUCUCUGAUGUUAGCGGCGGACGGGUGAGUAACACGUGGAUAACCUACCUAUAAGACUGGGAUAACUUCGGGAAACCGGAGCUAAUACCGGAUGAUAUUUUGAACCGCAUGGUUCAGAAGUGAAAGACGGUCUUGCUGUCACUUAUAGAUGGAUCCGCGCUGCAUUAGCUAGUUGGUAAGGUAACGGCUUACCAAGGCAACGAUGCAUAGCCGACCUGAGAGGGUGAUCGGCCACACUGGAACUGAGACACGGUCCAGACUCCUACGGGAGGCAGCAGUAGGGAAUCUUCCGCAAUGGGCGAAAGCCUGACGGAGCAACGCCGCGUGAGUGAUGAAGGUCUUCGGAUCGUAAAACUCUGUUAUUAGGGAAGAACAUAUGUGUAAGUAACUGUGCACAUCUUGACGGUACCUAAUCAGAAAGCCACGGCUAA
rnacentral:rRNA from 1 species